GCUUACGGCCAUACCGCUCUGAUCAAGCCCGAUCUCGUCUGAUCUCGGAAGCUACACAAAGCCGGGCCGUGGUUAGUACUUGAAUGGGAGACUGUCUGGGAAUACCGUGUGCUGUAAGUU
ensembl:rRNA 5S_rRNA 5S ribosomal RNA